CAGCAGCCGCGGGAAUACGUAGGUGGCAAGCGUUAUCCGGAAUUAUUGGGCGUAAAGCGCGCGCAGGCGGUUUCUUAAGUCUGAUGUGAAAGCCCACGGCUCAACCGUGGAGGGUCAUUGGAAACUGGGGGACUUGAGUGCAGAAGAGAAAAGCGGAAUUCCACGUGUAGCGGUGAAAUGCGUAGAGAUGUGGAGGAACACCAGUGGCGAAGGCGGCUUUUUGGUCUGUAACUGACGCUGAGGCGCGAAAGCGUGGGGAGCAAACAGGAUUAGAUACCCCUGUAGUCCCUGUCUCUUAUAC
rnacentral:rRNA from 1 species